GCUACCACAUCCAAGGAAGGCAGCAGGCGCGCAAAUUACCCACUCCCGGCACGGGGAGGUAGUGACGAAAAAUAACGAUACGGGACUCAUCCGAGGCCCCGUAAUCGGAAUGAGCACACUUUAAAUCCUUUAACGAGUAUCCAUUGGAGGGCAAGUCUGGUGCCAGCAGCCGCGGUAAUUCCAGCUCCAAUAGCGUAUAUUAAAGUUGUUGCGGUUAAAAAGCUCGUAGUCGGACUUGUGUCACACGCUGCCGGUUCACCGCCCGUCGGUGUUUAACUGGCAUGCACGUGCUGACGUCCUGCCGGUGGCCCGAGCCGGUCCUGGAUCUUUGGGUGCGAGUUUCCCUCCGGGGGGCUCCCCUCGAGUCCGGUUCUUGGGGAGGGCCUACUCAUACCCCUCGCGGUGCUCUUAACCGAGUGUCUCGAUGGGCCGGCACGUUUACUUUGAACAAAUUAGAG
rnacentral:rRNA from 1 species